rnacentral:rRNA from 1 species
AGAGUUUGAUCAUGGCUCAGAACGAACGCUGGCGGCGUGCUUAACACAUGCAAGUCGAACGUGAUUGGAAGCUUGCUUCCAUGAAAGUGGCGCACGGGUGAGUAACGCGUGGAUAACCUGCCCUGGUAUCUGGGAUAACAUCUCGAAAGGGGUGCUAAUACCGGAUAAGCCCACGGAGCCUUCGGGUUCUGAGGGAAAAGGUGGCCUCUGUUUCAAGCUACCGUAUCAGGAUGGGUCCGCGUACCAUUAGCUAGUUGGUAGGGUAAUGGCCUACCAAGGCGACGAUGGUUAGCUGGUCUGAGAGGAUGAUCAGCCACACUGGAACUGAGACACGGUCCAGACUCCUACGGGAGGCAGCAGUGGGGAAUUUUGCGCAAUGGGGGAAACCCUGACGCAGCAACGCCGCGUGAGUGAUGAAGGCUUUCGGGUCGUAAAGCUCUGUCAGAGGGGGAAGAAAUGAAAGGGUGCUAAUACCAUCUUUUCUUGACGGUACCCUCAAAGGAAGCACCGGCUAACUCCGUGCCAGCAGCCGCGGUA